rnacentral:rRNA from 1 species
UACGAAGGGGGCUAGCGUUGCUCGGAAUCACUGGGCGUAAAGCGCACGUAGGCGGACUCUUAAGUCAGGGGUGAAAUCCUGGAGCUCAACUCCAGAACUGCCUUUGAUACUGGGAGCCUUGAGUUCGGGAGAGGUGAGUGGAAUUGCGAGUGUAGAGGUGAAAUUCGUAGAUAUUCGCAGGAACACCAGUGGCGAAGGCGGCUCACUGGUCCGAUACUGACGCUGAGGUGCGAAAGCGUGGGGAGCAAACAGG